GCUGGAGUAGCUCAGUGGUAGAGCACCAGUUUGAAGCACUGGGUGUCGUGGGUUCGAUUCCCUCCUCCAGCACCU
rnacentral:tRNA from 1 species